GUGGCUGGCUUGAAAGGAAGAGGUUGCAUCACACACAGCAUGCUGAGCACUGCGAGCUGCUGCCAACAGGUCUGAGCUCACCAUCACAGCUGCCUGAUGAACGUGACUCCCAGGGUACAAGAGCAGGACGUGAACCUGGAGCUAUGGACAGGAGAAGAGCCCAGCACCCACCUCACCACAACCUCCUUUCCGGGAGCUGCAGAAUGAAGUCUCCUCUCAGCCUCCUCUUCUCCAGGCUAAAUAGACCCAGGUCCCUCAGAUAACUUGAUUGAUGAAACCAAGAUGGAGACAACUGAAACCGGAGUGUUGGAACUGGAGAAGACUCGUUUGGGCCAAUGUGUCUGGGUAACCGAUACGUAACAGGGAUCGAACUAAAGCCUGUUCUGCCUGGUGCUGGACUGCCAAGUGCUGCCGCUCACUCCUGCCUGAUUGAUUCCAGCAGACACGUUGUGCUUGAUCUUCCUGAUAAGGAAGAGUGCAUGUUUACAUCUCCAUUUAAACAAACCCACAGGUUGUAGCUGUUGCAGUGAGGGGAAACAAGGUUUGAGCUGUGAGCGUGGGGCUCUGUUCCCUCUUGAACCUGGAAGCAGAGUCCCCUGUGGUUUCUGUCUGGUAGGAAAUGAUUGAACCUGGGAUAGGGUGGAGUUGAAAAAUGGAAUCCCCAUCACUGCAGCACAAGCUGCUGCCUCCAGACUGUGCCCAAUGGACAGGGAACCCUUUCCAGCAGGUAAGGUGUCGGGGCCUGUGUUUCACAGUGGAUGUGUGCACUUGGGAAGCUUGAAGGCAUCACUGCCAAGUUGGAGAUGAACCAUUAGGAGGUUUUCAGCCCUUGGAUUAGGCAGAGGCAGGAACCUUCAUUCCUGGUUCUGUGACUGAGGGAUGGGUGGUCGAGGUUUGGAAAGGUUUUUAGGACAAACAAGGAAGCUCCUCCAUCCCUAUAUAGACAAACUCCUUACAUGUCCCUGCUCAGACCAUAUGUUUGUUGCCUCUGCAGCAGGACUUGGAAUUGACUGUGUGGAAGAGCUGCACAUAGAAAUGAAGAAGAUGGAAAUGGACUUUGAGGAGAAACUACUAGAUGCGUGUGGUGAGGAGGAGAUGCUGGAGGUGAAGAGGUAAACGACUGCAGAGAAGCAGGAGCUGGCAAGCAAAGUCUCCCAUCUGAGUGAGGAGAUGGAGAGUCUGAAAGAAGAGCUUGAAGGCAGCGAGAAAGUAAUGGCUUCAGGGUCCUCCUCCCUGCCUGCAGCUUCACUUCCAGACAUUGCAGAGAACAUCCAGCCAUCACCACACAUCCACUACCAAAGACUGCUUCUGGAUAUGUCCCACCAGCUCCUCUGCUCCCAGGUCGUUCUGGCAUCCUACCACUUCCACCAGAAAUGGGUAUUCCCUGUUCUACCCUUGGCUUCGGAUUCAGGGGAGCCUGUGCACCUUGGCUUCUUCCAUGGGAUUCAUCUCCAAAGGUUCUCAGCCAGCUGCACAACUGCAAAGACUGUGCUGGACCAAGAGUGGGUCUGAGCUUGAUGCAGCGAGUGGGCUUGAUGCAGGACCUGACAUAUGGGCUCAGUGCAGGACCUGACGUGUGGGUCUGCGAGGGGUUAUUCCUCUGGGAUAGCUUGCGGACUCCAAGAAACCGCCUCUCAGCAAGUCCUGUUUUCCUGACCAUGCCCAGCUCCAAGACACAAAGUCCUGGGAUCAGAAGUGAUCCCAAUGAAGCUGACACAGAGAAGAGUGGCAAAUUUGUGGAAAAAAUGACAGUAUCCUUUUGUUUUCAGAAAGAAUCAUCACGGAAUGGUUUGGAUUGGAAGGGACCUCAAAGCACAUCCAGUUCCACCCCCCUUGGAGUGGCAUGGAGUGAUAGAACAAGGCAAAAUGACUUUAAAUUGGGAGGGGGAAGAUUUAGAUUAGACAUUAGGAAGAAAUACUUCAUGAUUAAGGUGGUGAGACCUUGGCCCAGGUUGCCCAGAGCAGUGAUGUCUGCCCUAUCCCUGGAGGUGUUCAAGACCAGGUUAGAUGGGGCUUGGAGCCCCUGAUCCAGUUGGGAGGUGUUCCUGCCCAUGGCAGGGGGUGGGACAGGAUGGGCUUUGAGGUCCCUUCCAACCCAAACCAUUCUCUGAUUCUAUGAUGUGCAAAACCUGCCAGGGCACAGAGAACCUUCCCAAACCUGAGGGCUUUCCUGAGAGGUGUUUUGCAGGAGUUCCCACAACAAAAGCCACUCAGUGCUGUAGUCUUGCACUCCAUCUCCUCCCUUGUUUCCCUUGGAGGCCUGGGGGGGUAUUGGUGUCAGAGCUUUUCUCCUCGCUUCCCGAAUCGUGAUGCUGUCUCUGUUAGUGCAGGAACCUCGCAUUGGGCUCCUCUGUUCCACAUACGUUUCACGUUUCUUUGCACACAUGUUUCAAUAGGGGGGAAAGGGCAAAGGCCAUAAACAGAUUUAUGGGCUUUCCCAGCUCUGUAGCCUGAAGCCAGGAGCACCGAAACCAGCAGGAUAGCCUCUGUGGGACGUCCUCACAAUGACUGUGCACACUCGGAUUUGUCAUUCAUCACCCUUUCUGUUCCCUUACCUCUGGGUGAGUGAAUCCUACUACACCCAAUACACCUGCACCAAAGCUGCUCUGCUUUCUGGGAGCGGUGUGAACAUGAGCUCCCACCAGCACUGCCUUAUGAAUGGCAAAACCAUGUUCUGAAUCUGCGGUUGUCUGCUUUCUUUAAUGAAUUUAAGGUUGCAAGCCUGCUGACCUGCAGCUACUACAAGUGCAGACCUGAAAGCCCACACAAGUGACCCCUCUCAGCAGUUGUGUUUUGUCUGAAUUGAGCCUUCAGCUCCAUCCAGGAGGUUAACGUGACUCUGUGAGUGCCCUGUGCUGUCCCCACAGCAUGGCCCUUCUCCCUCAGCUUGCUCCCUGCUACCAGAUGCAUUCCUCACUUCCAACAUAUGGACUCAAUUACUGUCCCUCUCCCUCGAUUUCCUGCCUCUUUGAGUUUCCUGAAACGCAUCCCCUCCUCCUGGCAGCUUGAACUCCCGCAGUGAGAUGCUUUGCAAGCUCUCACAUUCCUCCCUUCCUCCAUCCCGCUGCUUCGCUGCCUCUAACGAGGUGGUCCCAAUCCAGAGCACGAACCGAUAAGGCUGCAGACCAGGGACCCUGAGGGCUCAGGUUGCUACAGCCAAACUAGCCAGCCCACUAAAUUCAUGCUCUGUGUCGAGCAGGGCUGUGUCCCAGCUCCCCAUCGUUCCUAGAUCACCCUGUAGUUUUCAGCCAACUGCUUUAUUUGCAAGACUCGGGCUUUUUUCCCCCCAUUCCCUUCUGAGGCUGUGGGCUUUAAGAGCCUCUGCGCUUUGGAAGGACCAUCAAACUGCUCCAGGUUCCUCCUGCAUGCUCUUUGGCUUCUUUCCUGCACAUCGACUCCUGACGAAAAGCCAUGUGCCCAUGGAUUCUGCUUUUAAAAUCCUUUGAGGAGGAGGAGAGAGGGAGCUCUUUCUUCUCUGUUAGUGGUUCCCCCCUGCUGCUUGCGGGGAGCCCCAGGCGCUGCAGUAUUGAGGUGCUGGAAAUCUUCAGAAAUCCGAGCUUAUUCAAGGGGCAGAGAGAGAUGGAAAUGGUUAAAUCAUGCAAAUGAGCAAGUUAAUGAUUUCCAUCCCCUUGCUGGUGUGUUUCAGUUUUAGGAAGGGGGGCUGGCCAGCAGCUGUGCCAGCAAUUGUAGCUCAAAAAGACUAUUUUCUUUCUGUGUCAGCUUUCAUCCAUGGCCCCUUUGGAUUCCCCUGACUCCACACAUGCCAGAGUUUCCAGAGCUUCUGCUGUCCCUGUGAAUGUUAUUCCUCCCAUACCCAGCGAUGGAGUUUAAUGCUGGGGGAGUGAUGGUGAUGAAGGCAGUGCUGUUUGCUCCUUGUGUGCUUCCUUCUCCAAGCAGUGGAGAGGCUUUUUCCCAGGGCAGAAGCCACUCAGGAGCACUUGCAAAUAGAGGGAAAAGCUGCAGCAUCUGCACCUCUGAGCCCAGGAGCUCAGGGGAACAACUUAGGGUACAGCUCUGGGGAAGAGCCAACAAAUAUCUGUGGAUGCGCAGCCCUACAGUCACCUCCAGAUGCUGGAGCCUUAUUGUGUGACAGUUGUUAUGUAUAUCUGGCUUAUAGAUUAUUAAAUAUCGUAUAAUAAGCUGUAUUAUAGUAAGCCUGGACACUGUGUCCAGGUUCUGGCAUCCCUUGGGUCCGGAGGAGGCCACGAAGGUGAUCCAAGGGCUCGAGCGCCUCCUGUAUGAGGACAGGCUGAGAGAGUUGGUGUUGUUCAGCCUGGAGAAGAGAAGGCUCUGGAGAAACCUUAGAGCAGCUUCCAGUACAGAAAGGGGCUCCAGAAAAGCUGAGGAGAGGCUUUUUACAGGGGUUUGGGGUGACAGGAUGAGGGAGAAUGUCUUGAAUUUGGAAUAGGGAAGAUGUCAACCCUUCACGUUGAGGGUGGGGAGGCCCUGGCCCAGGUUGCCCAGAGCAGUGGUGGCUGCCCCAUCCCUGGAGGUGUUCAAAGCCAGGUUGGACUGGGUUUGGAGCAACCUCAUCCAGUGGGAGGUGUCCCUGCCCAUGGCAGGGGGAUUGGAAAUGAAUUAGUUUGAGGUCCCUUCCAACUGAAACCAUUCUACGAACGAUGGGGUGGCUGGGAGCAGGAUGGGGACUGGAGACAGCUGUACUGAGACAUGUCCCCCUUUCAGGGGACAUGAAUGUGGGUGGCACAGCACUGGGAAAUCCCAUCAACCAAGGUUUGGAACCCACUAAACAGUUUUGUGUUGGGUAGAAAAGAUGCACUCCUGUGCUGUCCCCACCUCUCCCACAGGGCUCUAUCUAUUAUUCCCUGCCCCAGGCUUGCUGCUGUGGUCCCUGCUCUCCCAGACGUAGUUCUGGGGUGCUGGGUGGCAUGGGCUUGUCCCUGCUCCACCCAGCCAUGGUUCUGGGGUACUGGGUGCUGUAGGGCAGUCCUUGCUCCCCACAGCCAUGGUUCUGGGAUACUGGGUGCUAUGGGGCAUUCCCUGCUCCCCCGAGCCGUGGUUCUGGAGUACUGGGUGCUAUAGGGUGGUCCUUCCUCCCCCUAGUUGUGGUUGGGGGGUGCUAGGUGCUCUGGGGCAUUUCCUGCUCUUCCUAGCCAUGGUUCUAGGCUGCUGGGUGCUGUGGGGUGCUGGGUGCUGUGGGGUGGUCCCUGCUCAUGCCAGCUAUGGUUCUAGGAUGCUGGGGGUGCCGUGGAGUACUCCCUGCUCCCCCCAGCUGUGGUUCUAGGGUGCUGGGUGCCAUGGGGUGCUCCCCACUCCCUCCAGUCAUGGUCCUGGGGUGCUGUGGCUGCUCUCUGCUCCCCCCAGCUGUGGUUCUGAGGUGCUGGGUGCCGUGGGGUGCUGGGUGCUGUGGGGCAAUCCUUGGUCCCCCAGCCGUCGUGCUGAGUGCUGUGGAAUGCUGGGUGCCAUAGGGUGCUCCCUGCUCCACCCAGCUCUGGUUCUGGGGUGCUGAGUGCUGUGGGAUAAUCCUUGCUCCCCCCAGCCGUGGUUCUGGGGUGCUGUGGUGGGGUCCCUGCUCCCUCAGCCAUGGUACCGGGGUGUUGGGUGCCAUGUGGUUUUCCCCACUCCCCCCAGCUGUGAUUCUGGGGUUCUGGGUGCCAUGGGGCAUUCACUGCUCCACCAGCCGUGUUUCUAGGGUCCUGGGUGCUGUGGGGCAGUCCUUGGUCCCCCAGCCAUGGUGCUGGGUGUUGUGAGAUGCUGGGUGCCAUGGGGUGGUCCCAGCUCCCCCCAGCUGUGGUUCUGGGAGUCUGGGUGCUAUGGGGCAUUCCCUGCUCCCCUCAGCCAUGGUUCUGGGGUGCUGGGUGCGGUGGUGUGGUCCCUGUUCCCCCAGCCGUGUUUCUGGGGUGCUGGGUGUAGUGGGGCAGUCCUUGGUCCCCCAGCCGUGAUGCUGAGUGUUAUGGGAUGCUGGGUGCCAUGGGGUUCUCCCUGCUUCCCCCAGCCCUGGUUCUGGGGUGCUGGUGCCAUGGAUCAUUCCCUGCUCCUCCCAGCUGUGGCUCUGGGAUCCUGAGUGCUGCGGGGUGAUCCUUGCUCCCCCCAACCGUGGUACUGGGGUGCUAUUGUGGGGUCCCUGCUCCCCUAGCCAUGGUUCUGGGGUGCUGGGUGCCAUGGGGUGGUCCCCGCUCCCCCAUCCCUGGUUCUGGGGUGCUGGGUGCCAUGGAGUGGUCCCCGCUCCCCCCAUCCCUGGUUGUGGGGUGCUGGGUGCCAUGGGGUGGUCCCUGCUCCCCCAUCCCUGGUUCUGGGGUGCUGGGUGCCAUGGGGUGGUCCCCGCUCCCCCCAUCCCUGGUUCUGGGGUGCUGGGUGCCAUGGGGUGGUCCCUGCUCCCCCAUCCCUGGUUGUGGGGUGCUGGGUGCCAUGGGGCGCCCCCCGCUCCCCCCAGCCCUGGUUCUGGGGUGCUGGUGCCAUGGGGUGGUCCCCGCUCCCCCCAGCCCUGGUUCUGGGGUGCUGGGUGCCAUGGGGCGCCCCCCGCUCCCCCCAGCCUGGUUGUGGGGUGCUGUGGGGUGGGCGAUGUGGGGCUGCCGGCAGGUGGCGGGCUCUGCAGGCUGCGGAUCCAGGAGCUUCUCAGAUGUUUAAUGGGAUUUUAUAGCUCCGGGUUUCCUCGGGAGCUGUUGUCCGGGUAACAGAGCUCUGCGAGAGCCCCGUGCACGCCGCGUUAACCCCUUCAGUGCCGCUGCCGAGGGAGGAUGCGCAGGGAAGCCAGCAGCCCCCGGGAGGCUCCUCUUAAAGGCGUGCGGAGGUGCUCCAGCCUUUGGAUCAUCUCUGUGGUCUCCUCUGGACUCACUCCAACAGCUCCAUGUCCUUCCUGUGCUGAGGACUCCAGAACUGAACGCAGCACUCCAGGAGGGGGAGGGUCAGGAGGAGCACGGAGAGAAAUGUCCAACUCGGCUUCAGUGUCCUGCAGUAGCUGUGGGAUAUUUGCUCAACUUCUACAGCAGAAAAGGGCAGGGAUUUCAUGUAAGGAGCUCCUCUGCCUUUUAGCCUUAGUGGAGUCUGAGGCUAACACAUGUCUAGCGUAGCCUUGCUGCCCCAUCAGACCCUGAUCAGCUUGGUGUCUGCGUGAUGGGCGUGUCCUGGUGCUGCUGAGUGUGCAGGGCAUCCAUGGUCCUCCAGCAGUGAAAGGACCGUGGCUGUAAGCCUCAGCAGUCCGGAACCUGUAGGUACGUAUGACCACAGCACCAUAAGUACCAUAUGCCCUGUGUCCAACAGCCUCUCCCUGACGCGGUUUCACUCCUCCGACCCUUCCCCAGAGGAGCACUGUGUGUCCAGGUUGCAGGAAGCUCCUCUCCUGCUGUAUCCAGAACUCUGAGGGACAAUCGCCACCUUCACAGCUGUUUCAGACCCAGCUUCCCUUUGGAAGGGGAGGAUUUCCCUUCCCACACCUGCAAAAACAAGGGGUCCUGACUCACUGCCUGCAGGGAGCGAGGGCCAAGAGGGCUGCGGGGUAGGAGGGUGGGGAUACCAGGCACAUGAGCCUGUCACCGUGGGAUUUCCUUCCUCUGCCUUCUGGGUUUUCCCUUUUUUUGCUCUUUUCAGAAGGCGAUUGUAGUUCAGUGCAGUUUCCGUGUGGCCCUGUUGUGGUGUAACCCCCAGUGGGCAGCUAAACCCCACCAGACAGUGAGUGGCCAAACACCUACCUGCCAACGGAAUCAUAGAAUGGUUUGGGUUGGAGGGGACCUUAAAGAUCCUCCUGUUCCACCCCACCCUGCAUCAGGCAGGGACAUGAAGUGGUGAAUGAAUUCCUUAUUCUGCUUUGCUUGCAUGCUCAGUUGCUUUACCUGUUAAACCCUCACCUUUCCAGGUCUGCCUCCCACCCUGCUGUGGAGGAGGGAGCGAGGAAGGGGCUGCGUGGGGCUGAGCUGCCCACUGGAGUUAACCCACACAAGCUCCUACGCCUGUGCUUGUUUUGACAUCGCCACAUAGUGCUCUGAGGGUGUGUGUUUGUGGAGGAUCCCACUGGAGCCAGUGCUUCUCUGAAUCCUCCUUCCCAUGAACCUCCUGUCUGAUGCUUUGCAAUCCCCAGGAGUUCUCCCAGUGAGCCAUAUUGUGUUUUUCCGUCCUCAGUUGUCAGGAUAUUUCUCCAUCCCCCAUCACCGCUGCCAAGGAAGAUGGGAGCUCAGCAUGUGAGCCUUGUCAGCUCUGAUCUCCGACUCCCAUCCUGCCCAGGCAGCUGGGUCUAUUCAUCUACGAGCAGCUCCAUCCCUAGACCAUAGAGGACUGAGGAAAGCCUCCGGGCUUCUUUUUAAUAGCUUAAAGGACCCGUUGUGGGGUAGCAAGGUCAGUGAAAGGGGCGUGCUGCAGUCGGCUCAUUGAGACAGCCGUGUGGACCAUGGCAAGGCACGCACACAAUAGCUCUGUGUCCUCCUCCGGUCUGGCCUGGCGCUUGUCCUGCCCUCAGAGCUUCAGGCAGAUGAUUCAGAAUCAGUUUGUGGUUGAAGUGACUCAACCAGUGUCCUUUCCUGUCCUCGCGACGUCAUGCGUGUGCCAUCUGCUCCCCACCACACAGCAAAGCGAAGGCAGAAAAUCGAUGAUGAAUCCAUCCCUCCUGCCCAAAGCUCAUUGCUGGCCUGGGUAUCAAAAGAGAGCGAGGGUUGAGCCAGGCUGGAUGCAAGGGGACUCUUUUUCCUCAAAGGAGAUGAAGCAAUCGCAUACAGAGCAGACUCUUUACCCCUCACCCUGUUGCUUGGACCAUUGCCUGGUUUGUGGGAGGGAGGAAGAUGCUCUGCUUCAAGCCAGGUGAUGCUGACCACAAACCAAGCUGGGGAGCGGGGCAGGUUGCCAUUGGGGCACCCAUGCCACAGCAAAAAUCCAUGUCUGCGGUGGGAGGAGGAAGCAAUUUCCAAGCCUUUCUGAGAUGUUUUGCCAGUCCUUUGCAGAGCCACAGCAAUCUCAAACCAGAUCUGCUGGGGAUGACCAAGAAUAGGAGCUUUGGGCAUGGGUUUCCAGCCUGGAGAUCCCUUCAUGAAGACAUAAGCACACAUUGCCCAAAAUGCUGUUGAUAUUCAGUAACUCCGGUAUUUUCCAGUUUUCCUGCUGCCCAUGACAAUGGAAUGAGGAGUCAGAACCCAACCCUUUGGAUGUCCAAAGGGAUCUCUUGUGGUUUGCUAAAGAAGUGAAGCUCCCACAGAACGAGAGGGUAGGUUCCUACAUGACUGCUAGCCCAUUGUUUAAUAGAUUAAAUGGUAGGAAACAAAAUACAUCAGGAAGACUGUGAAUAGUAGGAAUGUUUCUGACAAUAUUCCAGUAGGACAAACCAAAAGGCAGACUGUGAAGGGCUACAGAAGUACCUUACCUGGAUGCUUGGUGGCUUAUAACAUCUCUAAGGGGUUGUCCUGCCUUGUGCCUUUUUAACUCUCUGAGUGGAGGGAUGUUCCAAGCUGACCGUUGCCACUUGGAGCUUACAGGGUGUCAGCAGCAGUGUCAGCUCAGUGCUCUGCAGUAGUUAAACCCCCAAAUCCCCAUGCAAGAUCCAGGAAUAUCUGGGAAAGGAAGGAGAAGAAGGAAACUCUUCUUCUUAGGAAACUAUAUCUCCCAAGUGAUAGGAUGAGAAGAAAUGGCCUCAAGUUGUGCCAGAGGAGGUUUAGGUUGGGUAUUAGGAAACAUUUCUUUACUGAAAGAGUGGUGAAGCACUGGCAGAGGCUGCCCAGCGCGGUGGCGGCAUCUCCAUCCUUGGAGGGGUUAAAAAAACAUGUAUACGUGGCACUUUAGGACACAGUUUAGUGGGCACAGUGGAGUUGGGCUGACAGUUGGACUGGAUGAGCUUAGAGAUCUUUGCCAACACUAAUAAUUCUAUGAAAAGCAACCACAGCAGUUGGGGUGGUUUUUUUUCUUGUUUUAAUGGCAUUGCACUGCCUGCAGCUCUGGUUCGCCUGUCUGCAGAGGGACAUCAUAUGCUAGAUAAGGUGCAGAGGGAGGCAGCAAUGACCAGUGGGUAGCCCUGGGGCUGCUGAAUCCAGAAAAGGGCCAUGAAGGAGGUACCUGAAAUUAUAAGCUGGAGGUAUUUUUGUCUCCUUUGCAAAAGCUUGAAUGAGGCUGGGAGAGGCAGGCUUAAAUGCCGAGCUGUAGUUUCACAGCCCUCCUCCUUACAGGAUGUUGCAGAUGCUUAUGGCUUACACAGGUUAAAAAAAGCAACCGUAUUCAUUUAUAGAAGGAAAAGGUGGGAGAAUGUGGGAAAAUGCACUGGCUGAGAAAGACGGGAGAGUGUCAAUGGGGGCGUGAGGGGAGAGUUGGAAGCUGCAAGGAGCGGGGGUGGAGGGAGAGAGCAGCCUGCUGCGCUCCUGCUGGGUGUUGGGAAGGGAUUUGGCUGUGCCCAGAGGAGCGAGAACCUUAUGGGGCUUGAGGAGGCAGAAGAGCCUGAGGGGAGAAAGGUCUGCUGGAUCAGAGUGAGAUAAGAAGCUUUGCUGAGGGGUGAAGAACACAAGCAGUGCAUUGAGUACAGGCUCCUGCUUUCUUUCAGCUCUCUCUGGCUACGCUAUGGUCCAGCUAGCAGCUGAGGGGGGGGACAUCUGUCACCCCCCUUCUUCUUUCUGCAGUAGCCCUGUGGGGACCAGUGCACAAAGCCUGGCAGCUCUGAAUGCUCCCUGUGUUGUCUGCGCAAACCAAAUGCUUUAUCCAACGGGGAUGGGAGAGCAGCCCUCAGGCAACCCCAGCAGCAGGAACCUGAGCCCCUUUGCAGCCCCACCAGCAGCACCAAAAAAUGCCCACCCCACACGGGUUAUUUUGCCAGCAGAUGUGGAAGGGGAAGGGAGAUGGCUGAUGUCUCAGUUUAGAGGUUGUUGGACCCUUACUAGUCAGGCUCUGGUAUGCUCUGCUGGCAUCAGACCUGUUGUGCACAAGGCAGAAAUGCUGUCCUGACCAUCUCUGCAGCACAGCCCAUGUUUCUCAUGCUUUUCUCAUUUUGGGGGUGAAGAACAGACCCAUAAGUGGUCUCCUGCCCACUGCACCAGUGGUGAAAGGGAUGCUAUGUGGAGAGUAGGGCAGGGAGAGGCAGAUGUAGCAAAGAGGGGUGAGGGGUAGUUUCAGAGCUGCUUCAGGGCACAGAGGGGGUUAAGAGAGGGGUGCUGGGUUUGCAGAGUCUCUGAAAGGCUUUCAAAUCUUGCUCAGGAGUCCCCAGCCUGUGUCCUCUGCGUGAUCUCAUGUGCCUGCCCUUGGUGUUUCAAAAGCUAGGGUGACAGCGUGUAAGAUUUUCAGUCUUUAAAGUGUUAAUUUCUCAUGCCUGCAGCAUCUGGGCAGUAAUUCAGCUGCUGCUUUAUAUUCCAGAGCAGGUCCCCUCCCUUCUGCCUUCCUCUCCCAAUCAGAUAAAUACAUCUUUCGGGGCAAUCCAUGAUUUCAAUACCGGAUGGGAGAUGGCAUGACUGAGAACUGCCUUGAGGAGAAGGACGUGGGGUGCUGGGGAUGAGAAGCUCGACAUGAGCUGGCAGUGUGCACUCGCAGCCCAGAAACCAACCAUGUCCUGGGCUGCAACAAAAGCAGUGGGACCACCAGGACAAGGGAGGGGAUUCUGCCCCUCUGCUCCACUCUGGUGAGAGCUCCACCUGGAGUCCUGUGUCCAAUUCUGGAGUCCUCAGCAUAAGAAGGACAUGGUUCUGUUGGAACAGAUCCAGAGGAGGACACAGAGAUGAUGGAAGGGCUGGAGCACCUUAGUUAUGCGGUCAGGCUAAGAGGGUUGGGGUUGUUCAGCCUAGAGAAGAGAAGGCUGCAGGGAGAUUUUAGAGCAGCUUCCAGUGCUGAAGGGGGUCCAGGAAAGCUGGGGAGGGACCCUUUACAAGGGUGUGGAGUGACAGGAUGAGGGGGAAUGGCUUUAAAUUGGAAGAGGGAAGAUUUAGACAUUAGGAAGAAAUUCUUCAUGAUGAGAGUGGGAAGGCCCUGGCCCAGGUUGCCCAGAGCUGUGGUGGCUGUCCCAUCCCUGGAGGUGUUCAACACCAGGUUGGAUGGAGCUUGGAGCCCCUGAUCCAGUGGGAGGUGUCCCUGCUUAUGGCAGGGGGUUGGGACCGGAUGAGCUUUGAAGUCCCUUCCAACCCAAACCUUUCCAUGAUUCUAUGAUCUUCCAAAGCGCUGACUGCAGGAGCGUGUGCAGUUUGUGCCAGUGCUGAUCUGGCCAAAUUCACCCCGUGCCCUCUUCCACCAAGUGCCCCAGUGCCCGUCAGCGCUCGGCGGGUGCUCUAAUUUGGGGCUGCCUGUGGCGUCAUGAGCUGGAUGAGCUCAGCCCUUAAGCUGUAAAGGCUUCUUAAGGACAGGCACUCUCUUAGCAUUGUUAUGGGGAUGCUAGCACUUGACUGCAUCUGGAAUGCUGGGCUUAUACAGGUGAGGGCAAAACACAGAGCAUGGGGUGAUCCAGGGGCUGUAAUCCUCUGCUGGCGCAAUCCCAUGAGAGCCUUGUGGGCAGCAUCAUGGAAUGGUUUAGGUUAGAAGGGGCUUUAAAGCCCACCGAGUUCCACCCCCUGUCAUGGGCAGGGACACCUCCCACUGGAUCAGGGUCCUCAAAGCCCCAUCCAACCUGGCCUUGAAUGUUUCUGGGGAUGGGGCAUUACCACCUAUCUGUGCAGAGAGUUGUACAACACUGCUGUCUUCUCCCAUGGGGUGCACAACUGCCUCUAGAGGAUUUUGUGUCCUGAGACGUGGAGUCCGUUUGGGUCAUGAUGCUGCCCACCACGGAGCUACACCUGCUCUCGGGUAUUGAGCUGAAGACAGGCAUAGAAUCAUAGAAUCAUUAAGGUUGGAAAAAGACCUCUUAACUCAUCCAGUCCAACUGUCAGUUCAGCCCCAUCGUGCCUACUAAACCAUAUCCCAAAUGCCACAUCUACACGUUUUUGGAACCCCUUCAGGGAUGGAGACUCCCCCACUGCCCUGGGCAGCCUCUGCCAGUGCUUCACCACUCUGUCAGUAAAGAAAUUUUCCCUAAUAUCCAACCUAAACCUUCCCUGGUGCAACUUGAGGCCAUUUCCUCUUAUCUUAUCACUUCUUCCAGGGGAGAAGAAUGAGCAAAGCCAGCAAGAUGACAAGAGGUGGAUGCAUCCUUGAGGAGACCACGGAGCUCAUCGGGUAUUCAAGCUAGACGUCACCUCUGGACAAAGCCAGAAAGCUACUGGACCUGCAAGAGCUUUCAGUGCUUGGCUCUGGCGUACAAACCCAGUGGUGCAUGAACUGGAGAGAACAAGAGCGAGCAAGCGGCUGCGGAUGGGCCCUUGGGAUGAGGUAGGUGCGUGCCUGAGCACAAGAGGUUUGUGCUUGAGAGAGAAAAUGCUGAUUGUAGAGAACCAUAGAAUCACUUGAUUGGAAAAAAACUCCGAGAUCAUCAAGUCCAACCGUCCCUGUCCACUACUAAACCAGAUCUCUGCGGACGUCAUCUGCCCAUCUUUUAAACCCCUCCAGGGAUGGAGACUCCACCACUGCCCUUGGCAGCCAUUCCAGGGCUUAACCACUCUUUCAGUAAAGGCAUUUUUCCCUACUAUCCAACCUAAACCUCCUCUGGAACAACUUGAGGCCAUUUCCUCUUGUCCUAUCACUUGUUACUUGGAUCAGCACUCACCUCACCACAACCUCCUUUCUGGGAGCUGCAGAGAGCAAUGAGGUCUCCCCUCAGCCUCCUCUCCUCCAGGAUAAACAGCCUCAGGUUCCUCAGCCACUGCCAGAAACCCUGGGGUCCAGCCCCUUCCCAGCUCCAUUCUUCUUCUCUGGACUCCCCACACUCAAACUGGGGUGAGCAGGGAACCCACUAGAAGCAAGGCUUGACCCCUUCUGCUGGCAUCCACCAGUCCCUGGGAAGGAUGAGGGAGCUGAAAAGGGCAGGUGGGACAAUUUGGGCAUCGGUCCCUCUGCCCUCUCCAUGCCUGGGGCACCAGAGGGCUCCAUGAAGGGCCAAAGCUGUGUCACCCUCGCGUCAGGGUGGUGGUCAGCUCUGCUAGGCUGAUGGCUGCAGGCUCAGGCAGGAGGAGUUGCCUUCAUGCAGCCAAAUGUCCAUGGCUGUCCUUAGGAGCCCUGGAAAGCUGCAAAAUGAAGGAGAAACUGGGAUAUGUGAGCUGCACCUGGGCUGGCCUGGAGCUUUGCCCAAGAACUUUUGUUUUCCUGUAAUGGUUCCUUGAAUAUAACACUGAUUUUCAUGGCUUUGCAGCUGCAGGCAAGUGAUGCUCUGGUUGCUCUGUGUUAUCCUGACAGUUUGUAUAUAGAAAAGGUGGAGAA